GACGUAGGGCGCGAGCGUUGUCCGGAUUUAUUGGGCGUAAAGAGCUCGUAGGCGGCUUGUCGCGUCGACUGUGAAAACCCGCGGCUCAACUGCGGGCCUGCAGCCGAUACGGGCAGGCUAGAGUUCGGUAGGGGAGACUGGAAUUCCUGGUGUAGCGGUGAAAUGCGUAGAUAUCUGGAGGAACACCGGUGGCGAAGGCGGCAUCCUGGACCGACACUGACACUGAGGAGCGAAAGCCAGGGGAGCAAACGGG
rnacentral:rRNA from 1 species